GGGUUGUGAGGUUAAGCGACUAAGCGUACACGGUGGAUGCCCUGGCAGUCAGAGGCGAUGAAGGACGUGCUAAUCUGCGAAAAGCGUCGGUAAGGUGAUAUGAACCGUUACAGCCGGCGAUGUCCGAAUGGGGAAACCCAGUGCAAUUCGUUGCACUAUCGUUAACUGAAUACAUAGGUUAACGAGGCGAACCGGGGGAACUGAAACAUCUAAGUACCCCGAGGAAAAGAAAUCAACCGAGAUUCCCCCAGUAGCGGCGAGCGAACGGGG
rnacentral:rRNA from 1 species